GACGAACGCUGGCGGCGUGCCUAAUACAUGCAAGUCGAACGAGAGCAACCGGUGCUUGCACUGGUCAAUCUAGUGGCGAACGGGUGAGUAACACGUGGGUAACCUGCCCAUCAGAGGGGGAUAACAUCCGGAAACGGAUGCUAAAACCGCAUAGGUCUUCGAACCGCAUGGUUUGAAGAGGAAAAGAGGCGCAAGCUUCUGCUGAUGGAUGGACCCGCGGUGCAUUAGCUAGUUGGUGAGGUAACGGCUCACCAAGGCCGUGAUGCAUAGCCGACCUGAGAGGGUGAUCGGCCACAUUGGGACUGAGACACGGCCCAAACUCCUACGGGAGGCAGCAGUAGGGAAUCUUCCGCAAUGGACGCAAGUCUGACGGAGCAACGCCGCGUGAGUGAAGAAGGUGUUCGGAUCGUAAAACUCUGUUGUUAGAGAAGAACAAGUGCUAGAGUAACUGUUAGCGCCUUGACGGUAUCUAACCAGAAAGCCACGGCUAUCUACGUG
rnacentral:rRNA from 1 species